rnacentral:tRNA from 1 species
AAUGAAUUGCCUGAUAAAAAGGAUUACCUUGAUAGGGUAAAUUAUGCGGAAUUCCGCAUUCAUUA